rnacentral:rRNA from 1 species
GGGGUUAGUGGCGCACGGGUGCGUAACGCGUGGGAAUCUGCCCUUGGGUUCGGAAUAACUCGCCGAAAGGCGUGCUAAUACCGGAUGAUGUCGAAAGACCAAAGAUUUAUCGCCCAAGGAUGAGCCCGCGUAAGAUUAGGUAGUUGGUGAGGUAAAGGCUCACCAAGCCGACGAUCUUUAGCUGGUCUGAGAGGAUGAUCAGCCACACUGGGACUGAGACACGGACCAGACUCC